rfam:Gossypium hirsutum cultivar TM-1 chromosome 22, whole genome shotgun sequence
AAUCCAUGAAUCGGACAGUUCCAAAUUAAGCCUUUAAAUCAUUCCCAAGCUUCAUAGAGUGUUUCAUCAUCCAAUUUUUGAAAAUAUGUGAUGUCAUUUCUAAGCUU